AUUGAACGCUAGCGGCAGGCUUAACACAUGCAAGUCGAGCGGAGUGAUGGUGCUUGCACUAUCACUUAGCGGCGGACGGGUGAGUAAUGCUUAGGAAUCUGCCUAUUAGUGGUGGACAACAUCUCGUAAGGGAUGCUAAUACCGCAUACGUCCUACGGGAGAAAGCAGGGGAUCACUUGUGACCUUGCGCUAAUAGAUGAGCCUAAGUCGGAUUAGCUAGUUGGUGGGGUAAAGGCCUACCAAGGCGACGAUCUGUAGCGGGUCUGAGAGGAUGAGCCGCCACACUGGGACUGGGACACGGCCCAGACUCCUACGGGAGGCAGCAGUGGGGAAUAUUGGACAAUGGGGGGAACCCUGAUCCAGCCAUGCCGCGUGUGUGAAGAAGGCCUUAUGGUUGUAAAGCACUUUAAGCGAGGAGGAGGCUACUUUAGUUAAUACCUAGAGAUAGUGGACGUUACUCGCAGAAUAAGCACCGGCUAACUCUGUGCCAGCCGCCGCCGCCG
rnacentral:rRNA from 1 species